rnacentral:rRNA from 1 species
UUCCUACGGGACGCAGCAGUGAGGAAUAUUGGUCAAUGGGCGAGAGCCUGAACCAGCCAAGUCGCGUGAGGGAGUACUGCCCUAUGGGUUGUAAACCUCUUUUGUCGGGGAGCAAAAGCCGGACGUGUCCGGCUGUGAGAGUACCCGAAGAAAAAGCAUCGGCUAACUCCGUGCCAGCAGCCGCGGUAAUACGUAGGUGGCGAGCGUUAUCCGGAAUGAUUGGGCGUAAAGGGUGCGUAGGCGGCCUGCUAAGUCUGGAGUGAAAGGUACCGGCUCAACCGGUACAGGCUCUGGAAACUGGCGGG